CCUACGGGUGGCUGCAGUGAGGAAUAUUGGUCAAUGGACGCUAGCCUGAACCAGCCAAGUAGCGUGAAGGAUGACUGCCCUAUGGGUUGUAAACUUCUUUUAUAAAGGAAUAAAGUGAAGCAUGUGUACCUUUUUGCAUGUACUUUAUGAAUAAGGAUCGGCUAACUCCGUGCCAGCAGCCGCGGUAAUACGGAGGAUCCGAGCGUUAUCCGGAUUUAUUGGGUUUAAAGGGAGCGUAGAUGGGUUGUUAAGUCAGUUGUGAAAGUUUGCGGCUCAACCGUAAAAUUGCAAUUGAUACUGGCAGCCUUGAGUACAGUAGAGGUAGGCGGAAUUCGUGGUGUAGCGGUGAAAUGCUUAGAUAUCACGAAGAACCCCGAUUGCGAAGGCAGCUUACUAGACUGUGACUGACACUGAUGCUCGAAAGUGUGGGUAUCAAACAGGAUUAGAUACCCUGGUAGUC
rnacentral:rRNA from 1 species